UUUUUGUAUUUUUUUGUAAGUCUUUCAGUAAGAGAGAGCCACGACAAAGAAAAGCUGUAGGCUUUGGGGUUCUGGAUCAUUUUGCAUCCCAUAAGGGAAGGUUCACCGAGAUGCCAAGCUAUGGCUGGCUACAACUUCAGUACAUCUUGUAACAAUGCAGGCCAUGACAUGCCAGAGUGAUGGAGCAUGGUAGUUUAACUCCU